AAACAGCCCCCUAUGUUUUGAUUCUUUGGCAGUUUUGGACCCCCAAGGCAAAAAAAAUUGACAUGUGGCACCUCACUUAGGGUGCCACGUCAGCGUUGACCGAGUCAACAAUGGACUAGGGGUCCAAAACUGUCAAAGAAUCAAAACAUAGAGGUCUGUUU
rfam:Medicago truncatula strain A17 chromosome 4, whole genome shotgun sequence.